UACGUAGGGUGCAAGCGUUAAUCGGAAUUACUGGGCGUAAAGCGUGCGCAGGCGGUUUUGUAAGUCUGACGUGAAAGCCCCGGGCUCAACCUGGGAAUUGCGUUGGAGACUGCAAGGCUUGAAUCUGGCAGAGGGGGGUAGAAUUCCACGUGUAGCAGUGAAAUGCGUAGAGAUGUGGAGGAACACCGAUGGCGAAGGCAACCCCCUGGGUCAAGAUUGACGCUCAUGCACGAAAGCGUGGGGAGCAAACAGG
rnacentral:rRNA from 1 species